CCUAUCUGGUGUCUACAGUACCUAUAUGGUGUCAACAGUGACUAUCUGGUGUCAACAGUGACUAUCUGGUGUCAACAGUGCCUAUCUGACUAUCUGGUAUCUACAGUACCUAUCUGGUGUCAACAGUGCUGACUCUGGUCACAAUUUGUUACUUUACAGCUUUAUUCAAAAAAUGUAUGAAAUAGUUUUUUCCCUCAUCAAUCUACACAUAAUACCCCAUAAUCACAAAGCAAAACAGGUUUUUAGGAUUUUUUUGCUAAUUUAUUAACAAUUGAAAAUGGAUAUCAAAUUUGCAUAAGUAUUCAGACCCUUUACUCAGGACUUUGUUGAAGCACCUUUGGCAGCAUCAGGUCAAAAAGCAUCAAGUCUUCUUGGGUAUGACGCUACAAGCUUGGCACGACUGUAUUUGGGGAGUUUUUCCUAUUCUUCUCUGCAGAUCCUUUCAAGCUCUUUCAGGUUGGAUUGGAAGCGUUGCUGCACAGCUAUUUUCAGGUCUCUCCUGAAAUGUUCGGUCAGGUUCAAGUCCAGGUUCUGGCUGGGCCACUCAAGGACAUUCAGAGAUUUGUCCUGAAGCGUUGUCUUGUCUGUGUGCUUAGGAUGAUUGUCCUGUUGGAAGGUGAACCUUUGCCCCAGUCUGAGGUCCUGAAUGCUCUAGAGAAGGUUUUCAUCAAGGAUCUCUCUGUACUUUGCUCUGUUCAUCUUUGCCUCGAUCCUGACUAGUCUCCCAGUCCCUGCCACUGAAAAACAUCCCCACAGCAUGAUGCUGCCACCACCAUGCUUCACCAAAUGGAUGGUGCCAGGUUUCCACCAGACGGGACGCUUGACAUUCAGGCCAAAGUGUUCAAUAUUGGUUUCAUCAGACUAAAGAAAUCUUGUUUCUCAUGGUCUGAGAGUCUUUAGAUGCCUUUUGGCAAACUCCAAGUUGGCUGUCGUGUCUUUUCCUGAGGAGUGGCUUCCAUCUGGCCACUCUACCAUAAAGGCCUGAUUGGUGGAGUACUGCAGAGAUGGUUGUCCUUCUGGAAGGUUCUCCCAACUCUACAGGAACUCUAGAGUCUGUCAGAGUGACCAUCGGGUUGUUGUUCACCUCCCUGACCAAGGCCCUUCUCUCCCGAUUGCUGUGUGGCCGGGCGGCCAGCUCUAGGAAGGGUCUUGGUGGUUCCAAACUUCUUCCAUUAAAGAAUGAUGCAGGCCACUGUGUUCUUGGGGAUCUUCAAUGUCGCAGAAUUUUUUUGGUACCCUUCCCAAAAUCUGUGCCUUGACACAAUCCUAUCUCUGAGCUCUACGGACAAUUCCUUCAACCACAUGACUUGUUUUUUGCUCUGACAUGCCCUGUCAUCUGUGGGACCUUUAUAUAGACAGGUGUGUGCCUUUCCAAAUCAUGUCCAUUCAAUUGAAUUUACCACAGGUGGACUCUAAUCAAGUUGUAGAAACAUCUAAAAGGAUGACCAAUGGAAACAGGAUGCAUCGGAGCUCAAUUUCGAGUCUCAUAGCAAAGGGUCUGAAUACUUAUGUAAAUAAGGAAUUUCUGUUUUUUACAAAUGUCAAAAAUCUUGUUUUCGCUUUGUCAUUAUGGGGUAUUGUGUGUAGAUUGCUGAGGAUGUUUUAUUUAUUUAAUCCAUUUUUAGAAUAAGGCUGUAACGUAACAAAAAUGUGGAAAAGGUCAAGGGGUCUGAAUACUUCCCAAGGCACUGUGUAUAAUAUGCCUCUGGGUUUUGUUUGUAAACUCAUGGACAGCGAGCAGUGAUGUCCGACUGGCCUUCGAGUAAAAAUAAAAUACAAAUGUUCUUUUCUGUUAUCAUAGAAUAUGGGGUCAUCCUACAGGUGGUGAAAAUAAUUUCAUCUUUUUAGAGUCCAUUGAGUCUAUGAUAGGGAGGGUUUGCUCCGAAGGUCAAGAGAGAAGGCCCUGCUGUGUGCACUCCAGUCACUAACAAGCUAAUGGCAUCUGUGGUUUGUUGUCAACAACACUGAUGUAAUGGUUAAAUUUGUCACCUUGAAGUUUAACAGGAAUAUGGUCGAGCGGUUUAUUGAAACGCUACACUCCAGCUGUUGUGAUAUGUUGAAUUUGAUUACUGUAACCAAUUAUUCCAAGGCACAUUAUGAUACAAAACUAGGUAUGAACAGAGAUGAACAAGGAAAUAAGGCUUGGAGAAAAUGGACCUGAAAUCUGUACUCGAGUUUUCUCCCGGGUGCCCGUUCGUGUCUGCCAUUGUCUUUGUCAUUAAAUCAUCUAAUACUUUGAGUAAUCAAUAAUGAAGAGAUACCAGGAUGGCUCCCAUAAAUCCUUCACAUUAUAGCUGUAUACUUUAAGUGAAGUGUUACUGACUAUUGACUUAGCUUAAAUCAGAGGCAUAAACACAGAAUGAAUGUAUAGUGUGUGUGUGUAUAUAUAUAUAUAUAUAUAUAUAUAUAUAAAUAUAUAUAUAUAUAUAAAUAACCUUGGAUGAACUAUUUUAAAAACUAUUUCAAUGCACCCAGUUUGAAGAAGGCUGUGGCAUUCUCCCAAACACAGAUGCUAUUGAGUUAUGUCCAGGCUAUGUCUUGUUUAUGUAUAUAACCAGUACAUUCCACACACCAUCCAAGACUGAUAUUAUUUUUGGGAACAAUUGGUGAGUUGUAAAGCCAAAAGUCUAGCCCAGUUUUGGUCCUGAAAUUAGUAAUUUAUGACUGUACAUGUAUGUAACUGUGGCCUGGACUAUAAAAUCAUAAUAGAAAUUGCCAA
ensembl:lncRNA